AGAGUUUGAUCCUGGCUCAGGACGAACGCUGGCGGCGUGCUUAACACAUGCAAGUCGAACGGUGAAGUCCCUUCGGGGGCGGAUCAGUGGCGAACGGGUGAGUAACACGUGGGCAAUCUGCCCCUCACUGUGGGAUAACUCCGGGAAACCGGGGCUAAUACCGCAUAUGAAGCCUGGCGGCAUCGCCGGGUUUGGAAAGUUUUUCGGUGAGGGACGAGCCCGCGGCCUAUCAGCUUGUUGGUGAGGUAAUGGCUCACCAAGGCGACGACGGGUAGCCGGCCUGAGAGGGCGACCGGCCACACUGGGACUGAGACACGGCCCAGACUCCUACGGGAGGCAGCAGUGGGGAAUAUUGGGCAAUGGGCGAAAGCCUGACCCAGCGACGCCGCGUGCGGGAUGAAGGCCUUCGGGUUGUAAACCGCUUUCAGCA
rnacentral:rRNA from 1 species